AUUAUUACAUAACUUGCUGGAUUCAAAUUUCAUUUUUUUUACAAAAAUAUAAAGUAUAUCCAAAGUUAACACUGGCAAGUCAAGUAUAACAAUGUAUCUAACACUGCACAAUCUGCAUAAACCUGCAUACCUGCAUAGGAUAAUUAGCAUUGCAUAUAUAAAUUAACAUGUAAAGCUUAUGCUGGCUUGCUGAUGUUUUCUUUCAUUGUUCUAUUUAAUUAACCCCUAGCCAAAUAUAGCAACAUCUAUUUAAAAUUGACCUGGGACUUGGAUUUUGGGCAGGUAGGGAGGAAUAAGGGAAAUACCUUGGCCUGGGAUUUUAGGGCUUAAAGAAAGGGGAGGGGAAACCUUGGGACUCUGGUGAAGUGGGGAUAUAAAAGGAGAGGGGAAUCCCAGGGCCUGGUGUAUUUGGGGAGAUAAAAGAGGGAGAAGGUUACAUCCACAGUCUGGUGAACUGGGGGAGAUAAAAGAGGGAAUGGGGAAAUAGUUGCUGUUCAUUGAAUGAAGUAAGUUAUGUAUUAAUGUUGUAAUCACAUUGUUGUGAUGAUUGUAUUGUUGCUUUGAAGUUUAUGGAGCACAUAUACCCCAG
rnacentral:lncRNA from 1 species